rnacentral:rRNA from 1 species
UGGGGAAUUUUGGACAAUGGGCGCAAGCCUGAUCCAGCCAUGCCGCGUGCGGGAAGAAGGCCUUCGGGUUGUAAACCGCUUUUGUCAGGGAAGAAAUCUUCUGAGUUAAUACCUCGGGAGGAUGACGGUACCUGAAGAAUAAGCACCGGCUAACUACGUGCCAGCAGCCGCGGUAAUACGUAGGGUGCAAGCGUUAAUCGGAAUUACUGGGCGUAAAGCGUGCGCAGGCGGUUUUGUAAGACAGAGGUGAAAUCCCCGGGCUCAACCUGGGAACUGCCUUUGUGACUGCAAGGCUUGAGUGCGGCAGAGGGGGAUGGAAUUCCGCGUGUAGCAGUGAAAUGCGUAGAUAUGCGGAGGAACACCGAUGGCGAAGGCAAUCCCCUGGGCCUGCACUGACGCUCAUGCACGAAAGCGUGGGGAGCAAACAGGAUUAGAUACCCUGGUAGUCACGCCCUAAACGAUGUCAACUGG